UAGCUGGGUCAUUCCAUGGGGUUGGGGCAAAAAUUGUGACAUCAGGGUCAAAAAAUAGAAAUGUAAUAAAUGAAAUGUUUUAUUUCUUAUAUGUUUCAUGGGACAAUCCUUCAGCUAAAUCCACUUACAGGCAUUUCAUACCACCCUGCAUAUUGGAGUAAACUGAGAAAUAAGAUUUGACAAAAUACCACCGUUACAUGGACAUCAUUUAUCAUCCUUACUAAGACUAUGCUCUCCCACUGUCAAAAUAAAGGGGUUGAUCUCCAUUACUCUUGAUAAAUAUUUUGCUAACAACAUUGUUAGUCACUUUAUUCCACACUUUUCAACAUGGCAUAUAUAUUUUGAAAGAUUUAGCAUCAAUAAAUGGAACUUGAUGCUCUGUGUGUAUACCAGUGCCAUGUUCUGUGUCGUUCUUUUUUCUCACCAGUCUAGAAAAUUGAAUUUAUGAUGGCAUGUAGAACUAAAUAGUUGAGAGAAGUCAUGCCUCAACAGAAUGGAAUAUUCUCUUUGGAAAAACUAAACUACUCUUUCUGGCAUAACCUUCUAUUUUUAGUGUUACCACCGUUACAUGGACAUCAUGUCUCAGUAACAGAGGUAUACUUAGAAGCAAUGUUAAGUUAAUGUCCAUUAAUGGCCAUUACACACCAAAUUCCACUUCAUGCCUUAGAAUAUUUGCACAAGAUCAAUUGAUUACACUAAAGAAAAACAUUUUGCAUGUCAAAUUCUUUGCAAAUAAAAGCAAAUUAAAUUAGAGUUUAAACAAGGAAAAAUGUACAAAAUUAUUGACAAAUUAUAUUUAAAAUCAUACUACGAUAAUCCUCAAGUUUCCACUUCCGUCUACCUCUGGAAACAUUUACGUUUCUGCCUAAAGGGAAAAAACAAAACAGUGCUAUCUUAUGAUCUCCAAUUCUUUUUACUUUAAAAUAACUCCUUCAAGAUAUUACUUUCAAAUGUACAUACCACCGUUACAUGGACAUCAUGUCUCAGUAACAGAGGUAUACUUUGAAGCAUUGCUAAGUUAAGGUCCAUUAAUGGCCAUUAAACACCAAAUUCCACUUCACGCCUUAGAAUAUUUGCACAAGAUCAAUUGAUUAUACUAAAAAACAUUUUUCAUGUCAAAUUCUUUGCAAAUAAAAGCAAUUUAAAUUAGAGUUUAAACAAGGAAAAAUGUACAAAAUUAUUGAUAAAUUAAUAUUUAAAAUAAUACUAAGGUAAUCCUCAAGGUUCCACUUCCGUCUAUCUCUGGAAACAAAUGUUUCUGUCUAAAGGGGAAAAAAAAAGAGUGCUAGCUUAUGAUCUCCAAAUCUUUAUUACUUUAAAAUAUCUCCUUCACGAUAUUACUUUCAAAUGUACAUACCUCCGUUACAUGGACAUCAUGUCCUUGUAAUGAUCAUAUUGAAUAGUAUUACAUGUACUUGCCAUUCUUUUAGUAUCAACACACUAAUGCGAGUUAACUCAUCUUACUCAAGUGUAGAAAUACAACAUCUACAGGCAAGCUUCUAAAAUGCAUCAAUGAACAGGUUACAAGUUUAUGAACUUCAAGAUGAUCGGUGACCCAAUGACAACUGUGUGGAAGAGGACUCUGUCAAUGUCACAAAAUAGAUAGAGGUAGAAUUGUGCCUCGCCAUCAGGCCAGGAGUACAGGUCACCAGAUUGACACUUCAUGUACUGAAGAUAUACAUUUUUACCUUCAACAGAG
rnacentral:lncRNA from 1 species